GAAGAUCUUGCACAACUCUAGCUGAAGCAGUGGAAUAACACCGCGACGCUGAAAUCUUCGGAAUUUCCUCAAACGGGAAGCGUUGGAGACAGGAGAUUUUCCGGGAAAUAUGAAGUGGGGUUUUGGUGGGGUUUUGGUGAACGACCUGGUUGAGAAGGAGACGCGACCAAGAAAAUGCUUGCGACUUGUUCACCAUUUCUUCGAGUCUAAACUUCAAUCACACAUCUACACGGUUUCAAAUGCAUAAAAUGUAUAAACCAAUUAAUUCAAUCACAUUCUCUUCCCAAAAAACGACAUUACGUUGUCGUUGUGGUGGCGUGCCGGCGGCCGGAGACGGCAGCAGCUGAGAGAGAGAGAAAGAUAGGA
rnacentral:misc_RNA from 1 species